UGAGCAAUCUGCCCAUCUCUUUGGAAUAAGCGUUGGAAACGACGUCUAAUGCCGAAUACGACCUCCUUUCGCAUGAUCGGAGGUGGAAAGCUCCGGCGGAGAAGGAUGAGCUCGCGGCCUAUCAGCUAGUUGGUGUGGGUAAUGGCCCACCAAGGCGACGACGGGUAGCCGGCCUGAGAGGGUGACCCGGCCACACUGGGACUGAGACACAGCCCCAGACCUCCGUAGGGAGG
rnacentral:rRNA from 1 species